rnacentral:ncRNA from 2 species
UCACCCGCCGCGGGAGACGCCGUCCGCCACCGCUCGUCGGUGCGUCCGGCACCGAAGGAGCAACCUCCCCGCCAAUCUCUCAGGUCCAACACCGCAGCGGACAG